rnacentral:rRNA from 1 species
UACAGAGGUCCCAAGCGUUGUUCGGAUUCACUGGGCGUAAAGGGUGCGUAGGUGGCCAGGUAAGUUCGGUGUGAAAGCUCGGAGCUUAACUCCGAAAUGGCAUUGAAUACUAUCUGGCUAGAGGUUCGGAGGGGAGACUGGAAUUCUCGGUGUAGCAGUGAAAUGCGUAGAUAUCGCUUGGAACGCCAAAGGUGAAAACAGGUGCUGGGGUUGUGCCGACGCGUGAGACACGAAAGCCAGGGGAGCAAACGGG